AGCAAUGCUGUCGUUAGGAAAA
rnacentral:miRNA from 1 species